GUGAGGGGAGCUGGGGCUGGAGCAGGAACAGAGCGGGGGCGGCUCCAGGGCAGCUGGGGAGGCGAGUCGAGCGAGCGAGCGAGCGAGGUCCCAGGGUGCUGCUGCAGCGCUCAGCUCUCAUGUGUGGCCCCGCCUGGCUCUCGUGACCCCUGCUCCCGUCAGCUCUGCCCUCUCCAACUGGGAAGACCGGUGGCCAGCGAAGGGGAGACUGUUCCGCUCCAGUCCCAGCUGCACGUGGUGCCUCUGCCUCGGUCCCCGUCUCAGUCCCUCAGCGAAGUCUUUGCCCUGCUCAGGAGCCCGGCUUCUGCUGCCACUAGCGGGGCCUCGUGCUCCCAGUGGGGUGAGCAGGACAGCGGGCACCUGUGUCUGGCACUUGUUCUUGACCUCCGAGUCCUGGAGACCUGAAAGCCAGGAGGCCGCAUGGGACCUUUCCACCUGGGGUCCUGCAGAGGCGCCUGGGCCAAGGUGGCAGGCAGGACCCGGGUGAGGUUGGCGGCCAGGCCUCAGACUCCGUGUGUGGGACAUGUGCUGUCCGGGAGCCAGAAGCUGACCUUCCUGAAGGCUCCUGCUUAUCUGAUUUCAUCCCUGGAGCAGCCAUGUGACACAGCCGUGAUUUCCCUCUCGUCACUGAAGGAGCUGUAGUUAUUAAGUGACCUAGCCAAGGUCAUGCGCAGGCUGGGCCCUGCGUGGUGUCCCUGGAGGUCUGAGACCACGCGUC
rnacentral:lncRNA from 1 species